UACGUAGGGUGCGAGCGUUAAUCGGAAUUACUGGGCGUAAAGCGUGCGCAGGCGGUGAUGUAAGACCGAUGUGAAAUCCCCGGGCUUAACCUGGGAACUGCAUUGGUUGACUGCAUUGCUGGAGUAUGGCAGGAGGGGGGUGGAAUUCCACGUGUAGCAGUGAAAUCGUAGAGAUGUGGAGGAACACCGAUGGCGAAGGCAGCCCCCUGGGCCAUACUGACGCUCAUGCACGAAAAGCGUGGGGGAGCAAACAGG
rnacentral:rRNA from 1 species